AAUGCGACUUCUAUCAGUUUUGAGAUGAACUGUAUGCGACCCUGAAGAGACCCACAUGCACAAAAGAGGUCCUGAAGUAAUACGUAACCACGCAGGCACGCACUGUUGACAGAUGUAAACAUGUUUUU